rnacentral:rRNA from 1 species
UACAGAGGUCCCAAGCGUUACUGAGAAUCACUGGGUUUAAAGGGUGCGUAGGUGGUCCGUUAAGUCAGUUGUGAAAUCCCCGGGCUCAACUCGGGAACUGCUUCUGAUACUGGCGGACUUGAGGCCAGUAGGGGUCACUAGAACUGACGGUGGAGCGGUGAAAUGCGUAGAUAUCGUCAGGAAUGCCGGUGGUGAAGACGGGUGACUGGGCUGGUUCUGACACUGAGGCACGAAAGCGUGGGGAGCGAACGGG